GCGAACGCUGGCGGCAGGCCUAACACAUGCAAGUCGAGCGGCCGUAGCAAUACGGCAGCGGCAGACGGGAUAGUAACACGUGGGAACGUGCCCUUUGGUUCGGAAUAACUCGGCGAAAGCCGUGCUAAUACCGGAUAAGCCCUUACGGGGAAAGAUUUAUCGCUGAAGGAUCGGCCCGCGUCUGAUUAGCUUGUUGGUGAGGUAACGGCUCACCAAGGCGACGAUCAGUAGCUGGUCUGAGAGGAUGAUCAGCCUCACUGGGACUGAGACACGGCCCAGACUCCUACGGGAGGCAGCAGUGGGGAAUAUUGGACAAUGGGCGCAAGCCUGAUCCAGCCAUGCCGCGUGGGUGAUGAAGGCCCUAGGGUUGUAAAGCCCUUUCGGCGGGGAAGAUAAUGACGGUACCCGCAGAAGAAGCCCCGGCUAACUACGU
rnacentral:rRNA from 1 species